ACGUAUCACAUUCAAAUCACAAAACCGCUCUGUCGUUUUAGUCAAAACCUGACUUUUCACACCGUCGUUUGCACAAAAACGAUGAUCGAAUGCAGUGUUUGUCACUCAAAGCUCGAACUAAACACUGAAGGAACGCCCAAAGCCUACGUUAAACGCCGAACCGAACGCUCCUCCAAAACGCGCUUCCUCCACGUCCUUUUGGUCGUCGGCGACUGCGUUUUGGUCGGUUUGCAGCCUGUUCUGGUUUAUAUGAGUAAAGUUGAUGGAGGCUUCAGAUUCAGUCCAAUCAGUGUCAAUUUUUUUACUGAAAUAGCGAAGGUUCUCUUCGCUGUUGUUAUGCUCUUUUUUCAGGCUCGACAUAAGAAAGUUGGAGAGAAAUCUCUUCUCUCAUUUUCAACCCUUGUACAGGCGGCUCAUGAUAAUGUGCUUCUUGCUGUUCCUGCUUUCCUUUAUGCUAUCAAUAAUUAUUUAAAGUUCAUUAUGCAGCUUUAUUUCACUCCUGCGACUGUGAAGAUGCUGAGCAACCUGAAGGUUUUUGUGAUUGCUCUCCUGUUAAAGAUAAUAAUGAAACGUCGGUUUUCCAUCAUUCAGUGGGAGGCUCUUGCUCUUUUGCUUAUUGGAAUCAGUGUGAAUCAGUUGCGGUCCUUACCAGAGGGCACCACUGUUAUGGGUAUUCCACUUGCAACAGGGGCAUACUUAUGUACUCUAGUAUUUGUCACAGUUCCUUCUCUUGGAUCAGUUUAUAAUGAGUAUGCUUUGAAGAGUCAAUUUGAGACAAGCAUUUACCUUCAGAACUUGUUUCUGUAUGGAUAUGGUGCCGUAUUCAACUUCAUAGGAUUUGUUGUAACUGUCAUUUAUGAAGGUACCAGUGGCUUGGACAUCCUGCAUGGAUAUUCAAAGGCUACCAUGCUUUUGAUAUGCAACAAUGCAGCCCAAGGGAUUUUGUCAGCAUUCUUCUUCAAAUAUGCAGAUACAAUUUUGAAAAAGUACUCGUCUACGGUUGCCACAAUAUUUACAGGAUUAGCAUCCGCUGCACUGUUCGGUCAUAGCCUGACUAUAAAUUUUGUUCUUGGAAUCUCCAUUGUCUUUAUAUCCAUGCAUCAGUUCUUUUCACCUCUUUCAAAGGUUAAAGAUGAACCACAAAGUGGCAGUCUGGAAAUGAUAGAAAGUUGGAAAAAUCAGAGGUCAAAGGAUAUGUCCUUCAUAAAUAUGGCAGCUGUGGCAAAUGAAGCGACUCAUGGUGUGGGCAACGAGGAGACAGCAGCACUUCUUCCCAUUUAAACUUGUUGUGAGUUUUGGAUUGCUAUUGGAGUAUAUAUUACCAAAGGCAUAUUCUCAAGACGAUAAGAGUUGAUUGUACACAACUUUUAGCAACUCGAUACAAGUAUUUAGUUGAAGAUGUUGCUAAUGGCUUGGUUGCUUACUGUUUUGGGUGAAAGACAGUGAUGACAAACAGCUAUACUUCUGCUCUGAUUUUUUCACAAAUAUAAUGAAAUGGUGUCUAUCAACCACAAAUUGGUUACAGACUUAUGCAGCGUCAAAAUUUUUGAAAACUUGAGAACAAAGUUAACACCGAAGCAGUUAGACAUGUUUUGGUGUUGAUAUAUUACUGUUUUCUAUUGCACAAAGACAUGCAAAGAUGCAUACUGAGACUUGAACUCUGCAUACUAAAAUGGGGUUUCAAGUAAAGAACCAAUGAAUGAAUGCCGAAGAACUGUGCUUCAACUUGUGUUCUUAAUGCGACAAAUAAUUAAUGUACGGGGGUAACAAUCAGUCAUUCUGAGAGAUUGGCCUGGCAAGAGUCACCUAAUGAUAUUGAAGGUAUGCUAUCUACCAGAAUUGGGAUGGAUGGUAGGAUCAAAUACCGUUGUUACAGAGAGUUUAAGAAUUGAAAAAUUGUAAGGAUAUUGAAUCAUUAUUGAGAAAUUGUACAUUUAUAGUAAGUUUGGUUCAGUUAAUCUUUUAGUACUGAAAAUGGAAAAUUAUUACAAAAAUGAAUUAUUUAAAAAAUUACUGGA